UACGUAGGGGGCAAGCGUUGUCCGGAUUCAUUGGGCGUAAAGAGCGUGUAGGCGGCCAGGUAGGUCGGUUGUGAAAACUGGAGGCUCAACCUUCAGAGGUCGACCGAAACCAUCUGGCUAGAGUCCGGGAGAGGAGAGUGGAAUUCCUGGUGUAGCGGUGAAAUUCGUAGAUAUCGAGAGGAACACCGGUGGCGAAGGCGGCCAACUGGACGAAUACUGACGCUGAGACACGAAAGCGUGGGGAGCAAACAGG
rnacentral:rRNA from 1 species